UACGUAGGGUGCAAGCGUUAAUCGGAAUUACUGGGCGUAAAGCGUGCGCAGGCGGUUUUGUAAGCCAGAUGUGAAAUCCCCGGGCUUAACCUGGGAAUGGCGUUUGGGACUGCAAGGCUGGAGUGUGGCAGAGGAGACUGGAAUUCCUGGUGUAGCAGUGAAAUGCGUAGAUAUCAGGAGGAAUACCGAUGGCGAAGGCAGGUCUCUGGGCUGACACUGACGCUCAUGCACGAAAGCGUGGGGAGCAAACAGG
rnacentral:rRNA from 1 species